UACGUAGGGUGCAAGCGUUGUCCGGAAUUAUUGGGCGUAGAGAGCUCGUAGGCGGUCUGUCGCGUCGGCUGUGAAAACCCGGGGCUCAACCCCGGGCCUGCAGUCGAUACGGGCAAACUAGAGUAUUGCAGGGGAGACUGGAAUUCCUGGUGUAGCGGUGAAAUGCGCAGAUAUCAGGAGGAACACCGGUGGCGAAGGCGGGUCUCUGGGCAAUAACUGACGCUGAGGAGCGAAAGCGUGGGGAGCGAACAGG
rnacentral:rRNA from 1 species